rfam:Hordeum vulgare subsp. vulgare, WGS project CAJW01000000 data, contig: morex_contig_82267
UGUAUACUCCUUCCGUCCCAAAAUUUUUGUAUCAGAUUUGUUUAGAUAUGAAUGUAUUUAGUUACGUUUUAGUAUUUUGAUACAUCCAUCUCUACACAAACCUAAACAAGAAUUUUGGGACGGAGGGAGUAUGAU